AAUAGGGUGGUGUAAUGGGCACGCAGAGCUUUGGUUUCUGAUGAGAUUGGUCAAACGGUCCUCUAUUU
rnacentral:tRNA from 1 species